GGUCAAGUAAUGAAGUGCACAUGGUGGAUGCCUUGGCAGUCAGAGGCGAUGAAAGACGUGAUAGCCUGCGAUAAGCGUCGGUGAGGUGGCAAUAUCCUGUGACCCGGCGAUUUCUGAAUGGGGAAACCCAACCAACACAAGUUGGUUAUUACACAGUUUACUGUGUAAGGCAAACCGGGAGAAGUGAAACAUCUCAGUACCCCGAGGAAAAGACAUCAAAUGAGAUUCCGUAAGUAGCGGCGAGCGAACACGGAGGAGCCGAUCAAUUUUACAGUAGCAAAAUGGCGUGGGAAAGCCAACCAUAGUAGGUGAUAGUCCUGUAUGCGAAACUGUUUAAGCGACAUAUUAAGUAGGGCGGAACACGAGAAAUUCUGUCUGAAGAUGGGGGGACCAUCCUCCAAGGCUAAAUACUCCUGACUGACCGAUAGUGAACCAGUACCGUGAGGGAAAGGCGAAAAGAACCCCUGUUAGGGGAGUGAAAUAGAACCUGAAACCGUGUGCAUACAAGCAGUCGGAGCGGACUUGUUCCGUGACGGCGUACCUUUUGUAUAAUGGGUCAGCGACUUAUAUUCUGUAGCAAGGUUAACCGAAUAGGGGAGCCGUAGGGAAACCGAGUCUUAAUAGGGCGAAUGAGUUGCAGGGUAUAGACCCGAAACCGAGUGAUCUAUCCAUGAGCAGGUUGAAAGUGCCGUAACAGGCACCGGAGGACCGAACCCACUGUCGUUGAAAAGCCAGGGGAUGACUUGUGGAUAGGGGUGAAAGGCUAAUCAAACUCGGUGAUAGCUGGUUCUCCCCGAAAGCUAUUUAGGUAGCGCCUCGGACGAACACCAUUGGGGGUAGAGCACUGUUUCGGCUAGGGGGUCAUCCCGACUUACCAAACCGAUGCAAACUCCGAAUACCGAUGAGUGAUAUCCGGGAGACAGACGGCGGGUGCUAACGUCCGUCGUCAAGAGGGAAACAACCCAGACCGCCAGCUAAGGCCCCAAAUUCCUAGUUAAGUGGGAAACGAUGUGGGAAGGCACAGACAGCUAGGAGGUUGGCUUAGAAGCAGCCACCCUUUAAAGAAAGCGUAAUAGCUCACUAGUCGAGUCGGCCUGCGCGGAAGAUGUAACGGGGCUCAAACUAGGAGCCGAAGCUGCGGAUUUAAUUGUUUCAAUUAAGUGGUAGGGGAGCGUUGUGUAAGCCUGUGAAGGUGCACUGUAAGGUGUGCUGGAGGUAUCACAAGAGCGAAUGCUGACGUGAGUAACGACAAAACGGGUGAAAAGCCCGUUCGCCGGAAGACCAAGGGUUCCAGUCCAACGUUAAUCGGGGCUGGGUGAGUCGACCCCUAAGGCGAGGCCGAAAGGCGUAGUCGAUGGGAAAUCGGUUAAUAUUCCGAUACUUGUUUAUGAUGCGAUGGAGGGACGGAGAAGGUUAUGCCAGCCUGGCGAUGGUUGUCCAGGUGGAAGGAUGUAGUUAGACUGAGUAGGCAAAUCCGCUCGGUUAUUAAUGAGAUCUGAUAGCAAGCCAGUUUACUGGCGAAGUGGCAAAUACCCUGCUUCCAGGAAAAGCUUCUAAGCGAUAGUCAUAAACGAAUCGUACCCGAAACCGACACAGGUGGUCAGGUAGAGAAUACCAAGGCGCUUGAGAGAACUCUGCUGAAGGAACUAGGCAAAAUGGUACCGUAACUUCGGGAGAAGGUACGCUGCCGAUGGUGAUGAAACUUGCUUUCUGAGCUGUUGGCAGUCGCAGAUACCAGGCUGCUGCAACUGUUUAUUAAAAACACAGCACUCUGCAAACACGAAAGUGGACGUAUAGGGUGUGAUGCCUGCCCGGUGCUGGAAGGUUAAUUGAUGGGGUUAGCGUAAGCGAAGCUCUUGAUCGAAGCCCCAGUAAACGGCGGCCGUAACUAUAACGGUCCUAAGGUAGCGAAAUUCCUUGUCGGGUAAGUUCCGACCUGCACGAAUGGCAUAAUGAUGGCAGCGCUGUCUCCAGCAGAGACUCAGUGAAAUCGAAAUCGCAGUGAAGAUGCUGUGUACCCGCGGCUAGACGGAAAGACCCCGUGAACCUUUACUACAGCUUUACAUUGAACUUUGACCUAACUUGUGUAGGAUAGGUGGGAGGCUUUGAAGCAGAUACGCCAGUAUUUGUGGAGCCAACCUUGAAAUACCACCCUGGUUAUGUUGGGGUUCUAACUUAGGAUUAACAAAUCCAAGGACAAUGUAUGGUGGGUAGUUUGACUGGGGCGGUCUCCUCCUAAAGAGUAACGGAGGAGUACGAAGGUGCGCUCAGAACGGUCGGAAAUCGUUCAAAGAGUAUAAAGGCAAAAGCGCGCUUAACUGCGAGACCCACAAGUCGAGCAGGUACGAAAGUAGGUCUUAGUGAUCCGGUGGUUCUGUAUGGAAGGGCCAUCGCUCAACGGAUAAAAGGUACUCUGGGGAUAACAGGCUGAUACCGCCCAAGAGUUCAUAUCGACGGCGGUGUUUGGCACCUCGAUGUCGGCUCAUCUCAUCCUGGGGCUGAAGCAGGUCCCAAGGGUAUGGCUGUUCGCCAUUUAAAGAGGUACGCGAGCUGGGUUUAGAACGUCGUGAGACAGUUCGGUCCCUAUCUACCGUGGGCGUUGGAAAUUUGAGAGGAUCUGCUCCUAGUACGAGAGGACCAGAGUGGACGAACCUCUGGUGUUUCGGUUGUCACGCCAGUGGCAUUGCCGAGUAGCUACGUUCGGAUGGGAUAACCGCUGAAAGCAUCUAAGCGGGAAGCCCACCUCAAGAUAAGAUUUCCCUAAGAGCCGUUGUAGACUACGACGUUGAUAGGUUGGGUGUGGAAGUGUAGUGAUACAUGUAGCUAACCAAUACUAAUUGCUCGUUUGGCUUGACCAU
rnacentral:rRNA from 1 species